GGAUGUGAGGGCGAUCUGGCUGCGACAUCUGUCACCCCAUUGAUCGCCAGGGUUGAUUCGGCUGAUCUGGCUGGCUAGGCGGGUGUCCCCUUCCUCCCUCACCGCUCCAUGUGCGUCCCUCCCGAAGCUGCGCGCUCGGUGGAAGAGGACGACCAUCCCAGAUAGAAGGAGUGUACCGUUCUUCGGUCAAGGGUAUACGAUAGCUGCGCUCCCCUGCUAGAACCUCCAUACAAGCUCAAGAGGUAAAAUUUUAGUCAUCUUCAUAUGAUAGUCAUAUUUGAGAGCUGUCACAUAGAUAAUGGAGUAAUUCAUUUCUGUUGU